CUAGAGUUUGAUCCUGGCUCAGGACGAACGCUGCCGGCGUGCCUAACNCAUGCAAGUCGAACGGAGAUUUCAGCAAUGGAAUCUUAGUGGCGAACGGGUGAGUAACGCGUAGNCAACCUACCUUCUAGAUGGGGNCAACNCUGCGAAAGUGGUGCUAAUACCGAAUGUUGUAUUUUAGAUGCAUAUUUAAGAUACUAAAGGUGGCCUCUAUUUAUAAGCUACCACUAGAAGAUGGGUCUGCGUCUGAUUAGCUAGUUGGUGAGGUAAUGGCUCACCAAGGCGACGAUCAGUAGCCGGUCUGAGAGGAUGAACGGCCACCCUGGGACUGAGACACGGCCCAGACUCCUACGGGAGGCAGCAGUGGGGAAUCUUCCCGCAAUGGACGAAAGUCUGACGGAGCAACGCCGCGUGAGUGAAGAAGGUUUUCGCCUCGUAAAACUCUGUUUUCAGGGACGAAUGUGCAAUAUGUGAAUAAUGUGUUGUAAUGANGGUACCUGACAAGGAAGCCACAAACAC
rnacentral:rRNA from 1 species